GAAUAUUUCAAAUCUAACCGUUAACACGUUACGAUUGUUUUUUAGUCAUUCGAAAGCGUCAGUCACCAGUGGCUGACAUGGCGCGUAACGUGUUAACAAAUAAAGUGCAGUGUGUAACAGUGACGAACCGUCGUGACAAUUGAAUCGCUCGAAAGCUGCGAUUGAAUGCUGAAAAAUUGAAAUUCAUGUUUUGGCUUGAAUUAGCCAAAAUUGGCUUGAAUUAGCCUAAAAAUUAGUGAAUAUUGAAUAGUGGACCGUACUGAGUUCUUAGCGAUUCAAUUAGUGUUUCCAAAAAUAUUAUAUUUACGCGGUAGUUGAGUCUACUCGAAAAGGAAUUCAAAAUCUGGAGAAAGGUUGUACAGAUACCACAGUAUCUCGCGAUUAGUAUUCGAUCCGGUCUGCAGGAUCAGUGCCGGGUGACAGUCCCGAUUUUAGGUUAUGCAGAGACAAACGUAGCCAAGAACGUGGAAUACAAGGUACAUCAGGAUCAUGAGCAACAUGUCGGUCCAGAAGUUAGAUUCGUCGAAAUCGUAUUGGUGCAGUACUCCAAGACCUUCAGUGAUGCAGGGUAGCUCGGAAUCCACUGUCUCGCAAGCUGUUGGUUUAAAAAACCAUCAUCGAACAUAUUCUUAAGUAUAGUAUGGUAAGCGCUUCGUUCGAGUACAGGAGCCAGGAAACAUAUCUCACCCAGCGGAUGUAUAUUGGCAGGGACCUAGAAAAAGUAGGAUCAUGACAAGAAAUUUAUGGAAAGCAUUUGGAAAUAGGAAAAAGGAGCUGAAGAAAAGAAGAAGAAAGGAAGGAAGGAUUGUACAAUGGAAAUGUAUGUAAAUACUUCAAUUACAUACUGCAAGCAGAGGCUACGUACCCCAGCUUCAGGAAUGGACCCAUAGUUACCAUGAGGACAUAAUCGAAAGGCACCAGGUGAGCGAGGCUGGACUUACCACUUUCUGAAGGAUCCUGAUAAUCUGCAGCGAUGGAUCUCUCAAAACCUGCAGGAAAUCUCGAUAGAUCAACCAAUAAAGUCUCGAGCAGCAACGCUCUUUCCUCCUAUGGAAGUAUAUAAGAUACGUCAGGAUUAACUGUGAACAUAUGCACAGAGGAGUCGCAGCAUUCUUAAAUACUCACCCCAUAGAGUUAUCGAUAACCAGCCUCACCGUUGACUGAAACGUCGAGAAAGAUGAGAGGAAAGAAAUUUAAUUCCGCUGCACAUCUGUGCGAUACGCUUACCUUCGACUGCUCCGACCUUCCCACCUGGAUGUCCUUCUCCAGAAUGCGAUCAAUCUCGCUGGAAGCUUCGCUGCUCGAAAACAAGUCGCACACCUUCCGGGCAGUUUCCCUCCCAUUUUCAGCGGCCACUAUGGCUAUUAAGAAGUCUGCGGGAUUGUAAUUCCGAGGACACGCGUAGCCCUGGCUGAAAAGUCGAGUAAAAAGCGUCACGUGGAUAGAAGUCACCUCGUCGCCAAAUUUGCAAGGAAAUUUACUUGACAACGGAACGGUAAGAAUCCUCCUGUACGUGUCUUCAUGCAAUGUACCUUUCGAAAAACUGCACCGCCUGCUCCGUGCGCCCGGCGAACGCCACCCGUCCGUCCACGAUUAAUAUUAUACGGUCGAAAGAAUUGAAUAUAGCAGAGCUCGGUUGGUGUAUGGUGCACAGCACGGUGUUGCGUCCUUUCGUAGCGAAACACUUCAACUGGGAGAUCAAAGAGUUGGCGGAAUGCGAGUCUUGGCCGGUCGUUGGUUCGUCCAGGAACAGUAUUUUCGGGUCGAUCAGUAGCUGGAAAAUUCGUAGCAACUUAGCGGGGGUCACCGGUGACCCCCAAGCAAAUCGAAUUACUAUAAUUCACUUAAUGAAACGAUGAUUAUUCGCACACAUUUCUAUAUUAUAAAUACUGCUACCCAUUGCGGUGACAUUCAGUUUGAUGAACGCGCAAUGAUAAUCCAAUUCAGUCCAAUGAUUUAAUAUUGUUGCAGCGAACCUGGCACUCGUGAUGUCAUAGGGGCGGAGCCAGUCGCGCGGUAGCUCCGCCCGUCCCGCCUCUACGGCUCCGAGACGUCCAAUCGCGAGUCAGAAAGCGGCUGACUGCGCGGCAGCCGACUAGCGUGCGCGGCGCCGCGGCGAAUUGUACCGAGAAUCCACGUGGGCGUGGCUUGCGCCUUGGAAUCUGACCACUCGGACGAAAGUGCCAGGUUCCCUGCAACGGAAUUUGGUAGCUUUCAAAGUGAAAGGCGAUGACUGAAGUAGUAUGUGUCGUCUUUACUGCCGUGUGGAUGUUUCGACCGAGUAAACUAGCUAGUAGUUUUCCUUUUUGCCUUCUGGCGAGAGAAUCACAUUCGUCUUACUUCUGUAGCAAAGGCCAAUCUCUUCUUCUCGCCGCCAGAUAAUACUUUGUCGUCGAUACCGUUGCCGAUCCGCGCGUUGCGUCUCCCAUCUAAGCCAACGUUUCGCAGCAGACGAUCGAUCUUGUCCUGAAUCUCGAACACGUGUGUCCUCCCGUGUAAUUUCAUUCGAGCCUGUGAUGUUCAAACUUAGAUAAAUGGAUACGUACGUAGGUAUGUAGAUACGUAGUUGAAUUUUUCUGUUGGUAUGAGUAUUUCAUAUUCCAUUGAUAUACGUAUCUAAUGCAUUGAAUUUCGCACCAUGAACCAGAGGUGCUCGAUCACAGUCAUAGUUUCGACGAAUAUGUCCUCUUGAUGCAUGUAACCGCUGUUCGCCAUCAUGUACGAGGAAUCGACCGGCACACCAUUCGCGCGGAUGUCGCCGUGAACCAAAAGUUCGGCUGAGUAGAACAAAAUCGGAUUGAGGAUUGUAUAGAAAUAUGUAAUGUAUAUAUGUUGUGUAUGAAACAGAGGAUGAGAACUCCAUAAAGACACUUACGACCAUUUCGAAAAGCCAAUGCCGUCAUUAGUGAACUUUUACCAGCUCCGCUGUGUUGUAAAAUAGAUUGUAGGAACAGAAAAUACGGCUUAAACUGAAUGUUUCAUCACUCCGAUCUUACCUUGCGCCAAUUAUAGCUGUCAGAUCGCCGGGUUUUGCUGCGCCGCGCACUGAAAAGGACCAUCGCUUAAAAAAUCGAAAAUCCACGUAAAGUACGUAUUUCAC